GACGAACGCUGGCGGCGUGCUUAACACAUGCAAGUCGAACGGAAAGGCCCUGCUUUCGUGGGGUGCUCGAGUGGCGAACGGGUGAGUAACACGUGAGUAACCUGCCCUUGACUUUGGGAUAACUUCAGGAAACUGGGGCUAAUACCGGAUAGGAGCUCCUGCUGCAUGGUGGGGGUUGGAAAGUUUCGGCGGUUGGGGAUGGACUCGCGGCUUAUCAGCUUGUUGGUGGGGUAGUGGCUUACCAAGGCUUUGACGGGUAGCCGGCCUGAGAGGGUGACCGGCCACAUUGGGACUGAGAUACGGCCCAGACUCCUACGGGAGGCAGCAGUGGGGAAUAUUGCACAAUGGGCGGAAGCCUGAUGCAACAACGCCGCGUGCGGGAUGACGGCCUUCGGGUUGUAAACCGCUUUCGCCUGUGACGAAGCGUGAGUGACGGUAAUGGGUAAAGAAGCACCGGCUAACUACGUG
rnacentral:rRNA from 1 species